rnacentral:rRNA from 1 species
AUUGAACGCUGGCGGCAGGCUUAACACAUGCAAGUCGAGCGGGGGAAGGUAGCUUGCUACCGGACCUAGCGGCGGACGGGUGAGUAAUGCUUAGGAAUCUGCCUAUUAGUGGGGGACAACAUCUCGAAAGGGAUGCUAAUACCGCAUACGUCCUACGGGAGAAAGCAGGGGAUCUUCGUACCUUGCGCUAAUAGAUGCGCCUAAGUCGGAUUAGCUAGUUGGUGGGGUAAAGGCCUACCAAGGCGAUGAUCUGUAGCGGGUCUGAGAGGAUGAUCCGCCACAUUGGGACUGAGACACGGCCCAGACUCCUACGGGAGGCAGCAGUGGGGAAUAUUGGACAAUGGGGGGAACCCUGAUCCAGCCAUGCCGCGUGUGUGAAGAAGGCCUUAUGGUUGUAAAGCACUUUAAGCGAGGAGGAGGCUACUCUAGUUAAUACCUAGGGAUAGUGGACGUUACUCGCAGAAUAAGCACCGGCUAACUCUGUGCCAGCAGCCGCCGUAA